rnacentral:rRNA from 1 species
AUGAACGCUGGCGGCGUGCCUAAUCCAUGCAAGUCGCGCGAACGGACGAGAAGCUUGCUUCUCUGAUGUUAGCGGCGGACGGGUGAGUAACACGUGGAUAACCUACCUAUAAGACUGGGAUAACUUCGGGAAACCGGAGCUAAUACCGGAUAAUAUUUUGAACCGCAUGGUUCAAAAGUGAAAGACGGUCUUGCUGUCACUUAUAGAUGGAUCCGCGCUGCAUUAGCUAGUUGGUAAGGUAACGGCUUACCAAGGCAACGAUGCAUAGCCGACCUGAGAGGGUGAUCGGCCACACUGGAACUGAGACACGGUCCAGACUCCUACGGGAGGCAGCAGUAGGGAAUCUUCCGCAAUGGGCGAAAGCCUGACGGAGCAACGCCGCGUGAGUGAUGAAGGUCUUCGGAUCGUAAAACUCUGUUAUUAGGGAAGAACAUAUGUGUAAGUAACUGUGCACAUCUUGACGGUACCUAAUCAGAAAGCCACGGCUAACUACGUG